rnacentral:rRNA from 1 species
UACGUAGGGGGCAAGCGUUGUCCGGAUUUAUUGGGCGUAAAGAGCGUGUAGGCGGCCAGGUAGGUCCGUUGUGAAAACUCGAGGCUCAACCUCGAGACGCCGAUGGAAACCAUCUGGCUAGAGUCCGGAAGAGGAGAGUGGAAUUCCCGGUGUAGCGGUGAAAUGCGCAGAUAUCAGGAAGAACACCUAUGGCGAAGGCAGCUCUCUGGGACGGUACUGACGCUGAGACGCGAAAGCGUGGGGAGCGAACAGG